rnacentral:rRNA from 1 species
GGUGGUUUGUCGCGUUGUUCGUGAAAUCUCACGGCUUAACUGUGAGCGUGCGGGCGAUACGGGCAGACUUGAGUACUGCAGGGGAGACUGGAAUUCCUGGUGUAGCGGUGGAAUGCGCAGAUAUCAGGAGGAACACCGGUGGCGAAGGCGGGUCUCUGGGCAGUAACUGACGCUGAGGAGCGAAAGCGUGGGGAGCGAACAGGAUUAGAUACCCUGGUAGUCCACGCCGUAAACGGUGGGUACUAGGUGUGGGUUUCCUUCCUUGGGAUCCGUGCCGUAGCUAACGCGUUAAGUACCCCGCCUGGGGAGUACGGCCGCAAGGCUAAAACUCAAAGGAAAUUGACGGGGGCCCGCACAAGCGGCGGAGCAUGUGGAUUAAUUCGAUGCGACGCGAAGAACCUUACCUGGGUUUGACAUGCACAGGACGCCGGCAGAGAUGUCGGUUCCCUUGUGGCCUGUGUGCAGGUGGUGCAUGGCUGUCGUCAGCUCGUGUCGUGAGAUGUUGGGUUAAGUCCCGCAACGAGCGCAACCCUUGUCUCAUGUUGCCAGCGGGUAAUGCCGGGGACUCGUGAGAGACUGCCGGGGUCAACUCGGAGGAAGGUGGGGAUGACGUCAAGUCAUCAUGCCCCUUAUGUCCAGGGCUUCACACAUGCUACAAUGGCCGGUACAAAGGGCUGCGAUGCCGCGAGGUUAAGCGAAUCCUUUUAAAGCCGGUCUCAGUUCGGAUCGGGGUCUGCAACUCGACCCCGUGAAGUCGGAGUCGCUAGUAAUCGCAGAUCA